rnacentral:lncRNA from 1 species
GCAAGACCUAACCUGCGCCAUUUAUAUACUGGAAGUAGACAAACUUGGUCAUGUUUUGAGUUGGAAACCAAAAGAUUUUUCUAAGGACACGGAAGUGCUGGAAUUGGUUCUUGUAAGAGAUGUAAGAACUGGACAGUAUGCAAAGAUUCCGAAAGCACAGGAUACUCGUGCUAGAGAUGCUAUUAAAAUGUAUAGUGCUGUUGAGCUGGAGAGUAAUU